UUUCCAGCAGGCUUGAUGGAG
rnacentral:miRNA from 1 species